GUCUCAAUGCCGAUCAAUUAGCCU
rnacentral:siRNA from 1 species